AGAGUUUGAUCAUGGCUCAGGACGAACGCUGGCGGCGUGCUUAACACAUGCAAGUCGAGCGAGGCCCGCCUUUCGGGGUGGUGCCCUAGCGGCGAACGGGUGAGUAACACGUGGGCAACCUGCCCUCAGCUUUGGGAUAAGCCUCGGAAACGGGGUCUAAUACCGGAUAUGACCACGUACUGCAUGGUGUGUGGUGGAAAGAUUUAUCGGCUGGGGAUGGGCCCGCGGCCUAUCAGCUUGUUGGUGGGGUGAUGGCCUACCAAGGCGACGACGGGUAGCCGGCCUGAGAGGGCGACCGGCCACACUGGGACUGAGACACGGCCCAGACUCCUACGGGAGGCAGCAGUGGGGAAUAUUGCACAAUGGGCGAAAGCCUGAUGCAGCGACGCCGCGUGAGGGAUGACGGCCUUCGGGUUGUAAACCUCUUUCAGCAGGGACGAAGCGAGAGUGACGGUACCUGCAGAAGAAGCACCGGCCAACUACGUGCCAGCAGCCGCGGUAAUACGUAGGGUGCAAGCGUUGUCCGGAAUUAUUGGGCGUAAAGAGCUCGUAGGCGGUUUGUCACGUCGGCUGUGAAACCCUGGGGCUCAACCCCGGGCCUGCAGCCGAUACGGGCUGACUAGAAUUCGGUAGGGGAGUCUGGAAUUCCUGGUGUAGCGGUGAAAUGCGCGAUAUCAGGAGGAACACCGGUGGCGAAGGCGGGACUCUGGGCCGAUAUUGACGCUGAGGAGCGAAAGCGUGGGGAGCGAACAGGAUUAGAUACCCUAGUAGUCC
rnacentral:rRNA from 1 species